AACGCGAAGAACCUUACCCAGAUUUGACAUGCAGUGGAAGAUAGCAGAGAUGUUAUCGCCCGCGAGGGUCGCUGCACAGGUGCUGCAUGGCUGUCGUCAGCUCGUGCCGUGAGGUGUUGGGUUAAGUCCCGCAACGAGCGCAACCCUUAUCACUAGUUGCCAACACGUAAAGGUGGGAACUCUAGUGAGACUGCCCGGGUUAACCGGGAGGAAGGUGAGGAUGACGUCAAGUCCGCAUGGCCCUUAUGUCUGGGGCUACACACGUGCUACAAUGGUCGGUACAGAGGGAUGCCAAGCCGCGAGGCGGAGCAAAUCCAUAAAGCCGGCCCCAGUUCAGAUUGCAGUCUGCAACUCGACUGCAUGAAGUUGGAAUUGCUAGUAAUGGCGUGUCAGCUACAGCGCCGUGAAUACGUUCCCGGGCCUUGUACACACCGGCUAC
rnacentral:rRNA from 1 species